CGAGCCACGAGACCCCCGCCUCCCGCCCCGGGACCCACCCAGGCAGAGGCAAGGGCAGGGGCGCUGGGGGCCCAGAGAGAGGGCGCAGCGAUGGAUGGAUGAGCUGUUUCCAGCAUUCCUGCUGAAUAUGAAGGCAACUCG
rnacentral:lncRNA from 1 species